rnacentral:rRNA from 1 species
UACGAAGGGGGCUAGCGUUGCUCGGAAUCACUGGGCGUAAAGCGCACGUAGGCGGGUCGCUAAGUCAGGGGUGAAAUCCUGGAGCUUAACUCCAGAACUGCCUUUGAUACUGGCGACCUUGAGUCCGGGAGAGGUGAGUGGAACUGCGAGUGUAGAGGUGAAAUUCGUAGAUAUUCGCAAGAACACCAGUGGCGAAGGCGGCUCACUGGUCCGGUACUGACGCUGGAGGUG